rnacentral:rRNA from 1 species
UACGUAGGGGGCAAGCGUUGUCCGGAUUUAUUGGGCGUAAAGAGCGUGUAGGCGGCCAGAUAGGUCCGUUGUGAAAACUCGAGGCUCAACCUCGAGACGCCGAUGGAAACCAUUUGGCUAGAGUCCGGAAGAGGAGAGUGGAAUUCCAGGUGUAGCGGUGAAAUGCGUAGAUAUCUGGAGGAACACCGGUGGCGAAGGCGGUUCUCUGGGAAUAUCCUGACGCUGAGGAGCGAAAGUGUGGGGAGCGAACAGGAUUGAGAAACCCU